AAGGAUUAAAGAGAUGAUUCCAUUAGAUUAGAACAAAACCUUAGUUUUUAUUAGAUUUGGAUAUUAAAGCAACUUGGAUACCAUUGAAGAUCAAUAGCAGGAGCAAGAGGGAGCACGAGAUUUGUUGACAACAGAUUUUAUUCUUUUCUCUACUCUUAUUUUUGUUUUUUAAUGUUUAUUCAAUUGUGGAUUCUUGGUUUUAAUUCAAU
rnacentral:lncRNA from 1 species